UACGUAGGGGGCGAGCGUUAUCCGGAUUCACUGGGUGUAAAGGGAGCGUAGACGGCCAAGCAAGCCAGGGGUGAAAGCCCGGGGCCCAACCCCGGGACUGCCCUUGGAACUGCAUGGCUGGAGUGCGGGAGGGGCAGGCGGAAUUCCUGGUGUAGCGGUGAAAUGCGUAGAUAUCAGGAGGAACACCGGUGGCGAAGGCGGCCUGCUGGACUGCAACUGACGUUGAGGCCCGAAAGCGUGGGGAGCAAACAGG
rnacentral:rRNA from 1 species